rnacentral:rRNA from 1 species
UACGUAGGGUGCAAGCGUUAAUCGGAAUUACUGGGCGUAAAGCGUGCGCAGGCGGUUCUUUAAGACAGAUGUGAAAUCCCCGGGCUCAACCUGGGAACUGCAUUUGUGACUGUAGAGCUGGAGUACGGCAGAGGGGGAUGGAAUUCCGCGUGUAGCAGUGAAAUGCGUAGAUAUGCGGAGGAACACCGAUGGCGAAGGCAAUCCCCUGGGCCUGUACUGACGCUCAUGCACGAAAGCGUGGGGAGCAAACAGG